rnacentral:rRNA from 1 species
ACUCCUACGGGAGGCAGCAGUGGGGAAUUUUGGACAAUGGGCGAAAGCCUGAUCCAGCAAUGCCGCGUGAGUGAAGAAGGCCUUCGGGUUGUAAAGCUCUUUUGUCAGGGAAGAAACGGUGAAAGCUAAUAUCUUUUGCUAAUGACGGUACCUGAAGAAUAAGCACCGGCUAACUACGUGCCAGCAGCCGCGGUAAUACGUAGGGUGCAAGCGUUAAUCGGAAUUACUGGGCGUAAAGCGUGCGCAGGCGGUUUUGUAAGUCUGAUGUGAAAUCCCCGGGCUCAACCUGGGAAUUGCAUUGGAGACUGCAAGGCUAGAAUCUGGCAGAGGGGGGUAGAAUUCCACGUGUAGCAGUGAAAUGCGUAGAUAUGUGGAGGAACACCGAUGGCGAAGGCAGCCCCCUGGGUCAAGAUUGACGCUCAUGCACGAAAGCGUGGGGAGCAAACAGGAUUAGAUACCCCGGUAGUCCCA